rnacentral:misc_RNA from 1 species
UUCGUCCUAGCUAUAGAUUGAAACCGAGAUCUUAUACAUUGAUAGUGCUUCAAAUCUGAGACAUCCUAAACCUUCAGUUGUCAAAAUAUUUGAUACGAAGUGUUUUUAUGUCUCGUCUUUGAUUCCUCCAUCAUGCUCACGCUCACCGUGGCAGCUUGUGGCCGUCAUUCAUGACAGAUUAUAAAAAAUAAUACAUCGGACNUUCAUGACAGAUUAUAAAAAAUAAUGCAUCGGACACUCGCAGAAAAUCAGUUACAGUUAGG